UACGAAGGGGCUAGCGUUGCUCGGAAUCACUGGGCGUAAAGCGCACGUAGGCGGCUUUUAAGUCAGGGUGAAAUCCUGGAGCUCAACUCCAGAACUGCCUUUGAUACUGAGAAGCUUGAGUCCGGGAGAGGUGAGUGGAACUGCGAGUGUAGAGGUGAAAUUCGUAGAUAUUCGCAAGAACACCAGUGGCGAAGGCGGCUCACUGGCCCGGUACUGACGCUGAGGUGCGAAAGCGUGGGAGCAAACAGG
rnacentral:rRNA from 1 species